UGGGGAAUUUUGGACAAUGGGCGAAAGCCUGAUCCAGCAAUGCCGCGUGUGUGAAGAAGGCCUUCGGGUUGUAAAGCACUUUUGUCCGGAAAGAGAUCCUUGGCUCUAAUACAGUCGGGGGAUGACGGUACCGGAAGAAUAAGCACCGGCUAACUACGUGCCAGCAGCCGCGGUAAUACGUAGGGUGCAAGCGUUAAUCGGAAUUACUGGGCGUAAAGCGUGCGCAGGCGGUUUGCUAAGACCGAUGUGAAAUCCCCGGGCUCAACCUGGGAACUGCAUUGGUGACUGGCAGGCUAGAGUAUGGCAGAGGGGGGUAGAAUUCCACGUGUAGCAGUGAAAUGCGUAGAGAUGUGGAGGAAUACCGAUGGCGAAGGCAGCCCCCUGGGCCAAUACUGACGCUCAUGCACGAAAGCGUGGGGAGCAAACAGGAUUAGAUACCCUGGUAGUCCACGCCCUAAACGAUGUCAACUAGUUGUUGGGGAUUCAUUUCCUUAGUAACGUAGCUAACGCGUGAAGUUGACCGCCUGGGGAGUACGGUCGCAAGAUUAAAACUCAAAAUGAAUUGACGGGGUCAUAGCUGUUUCCU
rnacentral:rRNA from 1 species